UUAGCACAUGGGUUUCGUACUGCCGCGAAUCCUAACCACAGAACGCCCACGAGCCCCGUCUCACCAUGAUGUGAGAUAUCUCUACAGGAAACGAAAGACGACAAAGUUUUGAUGUUAGACAUAAAGGACGACGACAACGAGCCGGAGCUUCCCACAGAUGCCUGCAUCAAAGCUAGAUCAUAUCGAAUAACACCAGAGCCUGCUGUCACUGCAAGUCUACACCCCUCUCACUCUAACACACACACACACACACACACACACACAGCUACCUGUUUACUGCAGCUUAACCCCACUGACCCAGUCAGCCAAAAGCCGAGCUCUUCACCCGGCUGCAACCGGUCUUUUUUACACACACACACACACACACACACACACACACACACACACACACAGUCUCAUUAAAGAGAUGGUGCGUUCUGAGGCCCCGUGUUGUUCACCCUCACCCCUCAGUCUCUCCUGUCACUUGUUGGCAUGGCCUUUCUCUUGGUGCUGAUGAGAAACAGUAGCAGCUCCAUAGAGCUUCUAACCACAUUAUUCUAUUCAGUGUGUUAUUCUCUGCUUGUUUGAUGAAUAUUUUGUGCCCUGUGACAAUCUCUGCUACAUCUGUCCAAACUUUCAUAUUUCAGUCAACCAUUAAAUGGGACCCGACUGUAGGUAGAAGCUAAAGUUCAGGGAAGCGAAGAAACGUCGGACCACACGAGGACUCGACUGGUCUGUGGAAUCGUUUCAGACCGCCGCAUGUCACAAACGCAUAGAAAUCCUAAACAGUACUUGCGUAAUUGUUUAUAUCAUGAUUCUGUAACACAAACCUACAUAGAAAACGAACGUUGCCUAGUGAGAUCAGCAUAAUCUGGAACUCAGCUCUCAUGUGCACACCCACACCCAAAUAUUCGUCACACAGCGAGAACUUUGUGGUCUUUGGUUUCAGCUUCACUAAAUCCGGUCGUCCUACAGGAACGUGUUUGAGAGGAAACCAGAGAACCCAGAGGAAACCCGUGCUCAUGCUCAGUAACCUGAGCUCAGGGAUCUUUGGAGCUCUGAGACAACGAUGGACACCGCACUACUGUUCCAGCAGUCUGUCUGAACUGUGUGUGUGUUUUUGUACAUUUUGUCUAAAAAUCACGUUUGGGCGGUUUAUUAGGUAGACGCCUUCACGCCGUGUUUAUUCUGAAACCAUCCUGAACACUGUGCAUCCUGUGUGACCUGAAAAGAAAUAAAAAUA